GACGAACGCUGGCGGCGUGCUUAACACAUGCCAGUCGAACGCUGAAGCUCAGCUUUUGUUGGGUGGAUGAGUGGCGAACGGGUGAGUAACACGUGAGUAACCUGCCCCCUUCUUUGGGAUAACGCCCGGAAACGGGUGCUAAUACUGGAUAUUCACUGGUCUUCGCAUGGGGGCUGGUGGAAAGGGUUUUUCUGGUGGGGGAUGGGCUCGCGGCCUAUCAGCUUGUUGGCGGGGUGAUGGCCUACCAAGGCUUUGACGGGUAGCCGGCCUGAGAGGGUGGACGGUCACGUUGGGACUGAGAUACGGCCCAGACUCCUGCGGGAGGCAGCAGUGGGGAAUAUUGCACAAUGGGCGCAAGCCUGAUGCAGCGGCGCCGCGUGAGGGAUGGAGGCCUUCCGGUUGUGAACCUCUUUCGCUCAUGGUCAAGCCGCAACAAUGGUUGUGGUGAGGGUAGUGGGUAAAGAAGCGCCGGCUAACUACGUG
rnacentral:rRNA from 1 species